UACGUAGGGUGCGAGCGUUGUCCGGAAUUAUUGGGCGUAAAGGGCUCGUAGGCGGUUUGUCGCGUCGGGAGUGAAAUCCACUGGCUUAACUGGUGGCUUGCUUUCGAUACGGGCAGACUGGAGGUAUGCAGGGGGAGAACGGAAUUCCUGGUGUAGCGGUGAAAUGCGCGGAUAUCAGGAGGAACACCGGUGGCGAAGGCGGGUCUCUGGGCCGAUACUGACGCUGAGGAGCGAAAGCGUGGGGAGCAAACAGG
rnacentral:rRNA from 1 species